rnacentral:rRNA from 1 species
GACGAACGCUGGCGGCGUGCUUAACACAUGCAAGUCGAACGGAAAGGCCCUGCUUUUGUGGGGUGCUCGAGUGGCGAACGGGUGAGUAACACGUGAGUAACCUGCCCUUGACUUUGGGAUAACUUCAGGAAACUGGGGCUAAUACCGGAUAGGAGCUCCUGCUGCAUGGUGGGGGUUGGAAAGUUUCGGCGGUUGGGGAUGGACUCGCGGCUUAUCAGCUUGUUGGUGGGGUAGUGGCUUACCAAGGCUUUGACGGGUAGCCGGCCUGAGAGGGUGACCGGCCACAUGGGGACUGGGAAACGGCCCAGACUCCUAGGGGAGGCAGCAGUGGGGAAUAUUGCAAAAGGGGCGGAAGCCUGAUGCAGCAACGCCGGGGGGGGGAUGACGGCCUUCGGGUUGUAAACCGCUUUCGCCUGUGACGAAGCGGGGGUGACGGUAAUGGGUAAAGAAGCACCGGCUAACUACGU